UUUUUUUUUUUUAAGGUUUUUUUUUUUUUUAAAGUAUUAUUAUUAAAUGGGGAGUUUUGCAACUGAUUGCAAACAAUAACUUCAGGUAUGUAUAUCUACUCUAUAGAGUUUGGAGAUCAUACUACUGUACAAUGGCAAAGGUGAGAGAUGGAUUUCAGUCUUGAAGCAUAUCCCUUUCCUGAAUACGUAGCAGAUUUGUUGUCUCGUAUAAAACUUGUUGCUUUUGCUGAGAUUACCCUGUUGUAGUUUGUGUGGAUCUUUUACUUCAGUAAGACACAGGCUUUGAGACACAGGCAAAGUAUAUAUGGCAAUUCGAGGAUGAUAAAUAUUUUUUUUCCUGGACUAAGGGCCUUGCAAAUGCUCAUGUAUUUUGCUGCCACAGUUGAAGUAAACUAAUCUUUGGAGCAUUUUCCCUAUAUGUUACUGUUUUUAAUGAUAUGUAAUUCAGUUCUUGGUCUUAGUGGACAUAUUCAUGUAGGUAUUUUCCCCAUUUUCACCAGCUUUUUCCACACCUUUUUCUUGCACUGUUGUUCUUUGUGCAUUAAAGAAUUUAGUUUACUGGAGAACUAGUGUGGGUUUUUUUUAUUUGAUGUUUUUUGGGUGUUUCUUUUUUUCUUUCUUUUUUUAUUUAUUUUUAUUUUUUUUUAGGUUUGUGGAUUAAAUAGGUCUGCUUGAGAGUUUCACUCAGGAUUUUCAUAAAUUAUAAAUUACCUUUUUAUAUUGUCUGUCCAAAUGAGAGAUUGAGGAGACUUCACUUGCUCAAUAUUUGUGGCAGAUUAAUUAAACUUCUUUUAUGUAAUAAGCAUGUGAUGCAAAUGCUAUUAAGAUCCUGAUCUUUUACUGUCCUGCCAUUUUCACAUUAGGACUAGUAUCCACUAUAUUAACUAAUUGCUGUAGAUUAAGGUUUUUUUUUCAUCCAGGCUGAAUGUUGGCCUAGUGCUGGCAAUAGAAGUGGGUUUCUGAAGUGUGUAAGCAGUUUUAUAUGUUUUAGAACAUUUUUGAAUUUCAUUUGCAAGCUGAAAAUUUGAAAGCAAACAACUGAACAGAAAAUCCUUCUCUUUGUCUCCUGCAAGGAGAACUAUGUGCAUGAGAAUGUUUUUCAUAAUACUGUCUUGUAAGGAUUCGGUGUACUGUAAAUGAGACUGAAGACUUCCAUUUUUCAACUUCCAUUUAAAAAAAAAAAAAAAAAGCCUAUUUGUAUAUUUCAUUAAUGUACAUCCUGUUUUGUAAAAAUGCAUAGGUU
rnacentral:lncRNA from 1 species